GACGAACGCUGGCGGCGUGCUUAACACAUGCAAGUCGAACGAAGAGCGAUGGAAGCUUGCUUCUAUCAAUCUUAGUGGCGAACGGGUGAGUAACGCGUAAUCAACCUGCCCUUCAGAGGGGGACAACAGUUGGAAACGACUGCUAAUGCCGCAUACGAUCUGACCUCGGCAUCGAGGAUAGAUGAAAGGUGGCCUCUAUUUAUAAGCUAUCACUGAAGGAGGGGAUUGCGUCUGAUUAGCUAGUUGGAGGGGUAACGGCCCACCAAGGCGAUGAUCAGUAGCCGGUCGGAGAGGAUGAACGGCCACAUUGGGACUGAGACACGGCCCAGACGCCUACAGGAGGCAGCAGUGGGGAAUCUUCCGCAAUGGACGAAAGUCUGACGGAGCAACGCCGCGUGAGUGAUGACGGCCUUCGGGUUGUAAAGCUCUGUUAAUCGGGACGAAAGGCCUUCUUGCGAAUAGUUAGAAGGAUUGACGGUACCGGAAUAGAAAGCCACGGCUAACUACGUG
rnacentral:rRNA from 1 species